ensembl:antisense Gm17088 predicted gene 17088
AAAAAAGACACAGAGCCCAACGCAAACCCGAACGCGAGGCUGCUCGACACACUGGGAGCCAAGAAGCCCGCUCAGCGGCUCAGUGACACACUUCUACUUCACACGGAAGGUACACGAAGCUUGACGUAUCAAGUCUUUCCAGAAAGGGACAUAUGCACUUCGAGAAGAUAAGUUGAUAAACAUCUGUUUACUGACCCAAGAACAACUCUGCAAGACUAACCAGAAGGCCUCAUGUUCACUUUGAACAGACUGAUGAAGCAGAGGAGGACACCUGGUGCAGACUCUGAGGCGAGUCAAGCGCUGCAUCUACAUUUCAGCAAACAAUUUGAGUCUGUCUUGACAGUUUCUCGGCGGUUAAACUGAAAUUCAGAAUCCCCGUGCUCAUGUGUCAUUUACAGCAUAUGAGAUCUAUACGUGGCAUAAACCAUAUAAACAGGAUAUGGGUCUCAAUUAUGAAGGCCGCGUUCUAUGCCUACCUGGAAGGCAAUCUCUACCAGCGGGCCACCAGAUGCAUGCAUGCACUAAUCCUGUCUUACUGUCUUUCCUUCAACAAAAUUAACAUUAAAGUACAAAAAGGCAUA